rnacentral:miRNA from 1 species
ACCAUUGGAUUGUGGG